CUCUCCAGUGAGGUAGCCUGCAUUUUGCAAAAUGAAAGGCCCUGAGAAGGAAACUGACAAGAGAGUCAGCCAAAAAUACAUCCAGACCACCUAAAGGCCAGGUCUGUAUUUGAGUUUGAUUUUUCUGAGUAUGUCUAGAGGCCCCAACAAGAGUCCAAAUACCCCAGUCAGAAGCUUGAGUCCCUGCACCAGCACCUUCCCAGAGCUUACCAAUAGUGGCCCAGUUGAUUGAAGGUUCUAUGACUCACAGGUCCCAAACCUGCUAUUUAAACAUCAGCAUUUCCUUUUUUUGGGCUUAAGACUAAUUGGUAUAGAGGUAGUGAGCUCCCAGGCCUAGCCCCACCCUGUUGAAACAUGUAGCCCUCAAAGGUUUCCACUUCAGGCACCACCCGUGAGGUACAGCUAUCAUCUGCCACAUGUCUGAGUGCAAACAUUUAACCCAUGCUGAGCCAUCAUGCUUUCCUCAGCUUCUCGACAGCCUUCCAGUGUGCAUCUCUGCCACAUCACUCCCCUGCCCCAAGGCCUCCAAAGACACCCCAUGAUGCUCGGAACAAAAGCCAAAGUCUUCCUUCCCUGAGCUGCCCCCCUCUCCCCAAUUUCUCUUUCUAUUCCAUGUCAUCCCCAUCAUUCACUCUGCUCUGGUCCCUGAUCUUCUAGCUGUUCUCCAACACAUCAAACUUGUCCCUGUCCCAGGCCUUUGCACUUAGGGUUCCUUCUACCUGAAAUGCUCUUUGCCGGGAUCAAAUAUGGCUUACUCUUUCUUCAUUCAACCUCUUCUCUAAUGUCACCUUUCCAGAAAAGUCUUCCUGACUCCACUGUGUGUAAAAUAGUGCACCCCUCACCCCUAUCUCUCUACCCUGCGUUACUUUUUUUCAAGGCUCUUAUCACCGGUUGAUAUAUGUAGAUGUAUACAUAUACGUAUACAUAUGCAUAUAUAUAUAUAUAUGUUGUUGGUGGUGGUUGGUUAGUUUGCUGCUUAUUGUCUGUCACCCCCACUAAGAUGUAAACAGGGUAAGGAGGGACAUUGUCUUUUUUUACUCUGUAUCUCCAGUGUCUAGAAUAGAGUCUGGCACAUAGGUGCUUAUUGAAUAUUUGUUGAAUGAAUGAAUGCAUGCAUGACUUCUUACUGUGAGUGCAAGGAGGUGGGGAGGGGUGGGGAGGCUCAGGCUUGGCUCACUCUACACAGAUCAGUGCUUCCAUGACUUGGAUACUGAACCAUGAGAAACAAAGAGAUUUGUUGGUUUAAUUUCUUUUGCCCUGGGAAAAUUAAAGAUCACAGAUAAUCCAAAACUCAGUGCCAAGUUCUCUAUUUAUAAUCGAGGAAUUAUUCACACAGAGGUAAACAAGAGCAAAGGACUGACAAGUGAACUGGAGGAGGAGAAUGAUGGGAAACAGACUGAGGGACCCGUACAUCUGCAUGCCUUCAACAGGCCUGGGUUCUCACCAGCACUCACUCAACCUUGGAUCCAGAGAACCCUUGAUGUUUUCCAGUCCCAGAAUCCUCUGGGACAGGCUGCCCAGAUGGCUGUUGGGAGUGAGCUGGCGAUCUUAAGCAGAGGCAGCCUAGCUCAGGGCCCUGGGUGCCAAGAUAGUCUCCAGAGACUCUUCUCCCCUCAGGGCCUCAGUCUAGAGUCUGAGGAGAGCUCCCCCCAUUGACACCAUCAGGACCUCCAGCACUGGCUUAAGUGGCUUCCCUGUCCACUGCAGCAUUUGAUUUCAAGCUACAUGUGAAAAAACAGAGUCAUUGAGAGAAAGCAACUCACUGAAGGUCACGUGGGAAACAGCACAGAUAGGAAGAACCAGGCCUCCGAGUCACAGAAAGAUCUUCCAUUCAUCAUGGAUUUCUACAGGCUGCAAGAAGACAAAGAACACAAGUGACAAGACACCUAGAAAAAGAUGUUCAAGACCUACAUGAAGCCCACCCAGGGUUCUCUUUGAAACUAUUGUUUGUUGAAGUUAUGGGGAAUAAAGUUUACACUCCCAUUA